GCAUUGGUGGCUCAGUGUAGAAUUCUCCCUUUCCAUGGGGGAGACUUGGGUUCGAUUCCUAGCCAAUACA
rnacentral:tRNA from 1 species